rnacentral:rRNA from 1 species
GAUGAACGCUGGCGGCGUGCUUAACACAUGCAAGUCGAACGAAGCACCUUAUUCUGAUUUCUUCGGAAUGAAAAAUUUGGUGACUGAGUGGCGGACGGGUGAGUAACGCGUGGGUAACCUGCCUCAUACAGGGGGAUAACAGUGAGAAAUCACUGCUAAUACCGCAUAAGCCCACAGCACCGCAUGGGUCAAGGGGAAAAGCUCCGGUGGUAUGAGAUGGACCCGCGUCUGAUUAGGUAGUUGGUGGGGUAACGGCCUACCAAGCCGACGAUCAGUAGCCGACCUGAGAGGGUGACCGGCCACAUUGGGACUGAGACACGGCCCAAACUCCUACGGGAGGCGGCAGUGGGGAAUAUUGCACAAUGGGGGAAACCCUGAUGCAGCGACGCCGCGUGAGCGAUGAAGUAUUUCGGUAUGUAAAGCUCUAUCAGCAGGGAAGAAAAUGACGGUACCUGACUAAGAAGCACCGGCUAAAUACGUGCCAGCCGCCGCGGUAA